rnacentral:rRNA from 1 species
CCCUUAGAUGUUCUGGGCUGCACGCGCGCUACACUGAUGCGAUCAACAAGUUUUUCCUAUGUCGAUAGACACGGGUAAUCUUUUGAACUCGCAUCGUGAUGGGGAUAGAUUAUUGUAAUUAUUAAUCUUCAACGAGGAAUGCCUAGUAGGCGCAAGUCAUCAGCUUGCGUCGAUUACGUCCCUGCCCUUUGUACACACCGCCCGUCGCUCCUACCGAUUGGGUGUGCUGGUGAAAUGUUCGGAUCGGCCGUUUGUCGCGGUUUCCGCGUCAUGUGGCUGAGAAGUUCAUUAAACCCUCCCACCUAGAGGAAGGAGAAGUCGUAACA